rnacentral:rRNA from 1 species
AUUGAACGCUGGCGGCAUGCCUUACACAUGCAAGUCGAACGGCAGAACGGAGAGCAAUCCUGGUGCAUAUCACGAACGGGUGAGUAAUACAUCGGAACGUGCCCAAUCGUGGGGGAUAACGCAGCGAAAGCUGUGCUAAUACCGCAUACGAUCUACGGGUGAAAGCAGGGGAUCGCAAGACCUUGCGCGAAUGGAGCGGCCGAUGGCAGAUUAGGUAGUUGGUGAGGUAAAGGCUCACCAAGCCGUCGAUCUGUAGCUGGUCUGAGAGGACGACCAGCCACACUGGGACUGAGACACGGCCCAGACUCCUACGGGAGGCAGCAGUGGGGAAUUUUGGACAAUGGGCGAAAGCCUGAUCCAGCCAUGCCGCGUGCAGGAUGAAGGCCUUCGGGUUGUAAACUGCUUUUGUACGGAACGAAACGGCCUUUUCUAAUAAAGAGGGCUAAUGACGGUACCGUAAGAAUAAGCACCGGCUAACUACGUGCCAGCAGCCGCGGUAAUACGUAGGGUGCAAGCGUUAAUCGGAAUUACUGGGCGUAAAGCGUGCGCAGGCGGUUAUGUAAGACAGUUGUGAAAUCCCCGGGCUCAACCUGGGAACUGCAUCUGUGACUGCAUAGCUAGAGUACGGUAGAGGGGGAUGGAAUUCCGCGUGUAGCAGUGAAAUGCGUAGAUAUGCGGAGGAACACCGAUGGCGAAGGCAAUCCCCUGGGCCUGUACUGACGCUCAUGCACGAAAGCGUGGGGAGCAAACAGG